AAAGUUUCUUGCGUGAUGGCCGCCAUGGUGACAUCCCCCUCUGCAUCGCACCAGAUUCCUACAAUCGGUUCUUAAAAACAGAAAACAAACAUCUGCCGCUGUUGGUGUCGAUGGGUUAACCUCAUGCCCAAGUGUCCGUGGAGAUCUGUCACUGGGGAGACAGCCUAACACAUGUCAAAAACCACUCAGGCCACUGCCAAUCUCCCCUUGACCGACUGAAAGAACGAGUCUUUGGCUAAUCACAUUGUAUAACGAAUAAAAUUACAGAGACAACAGUCUUCAACAAGCAAAAAGAUCCUAGCCAAAGAUCAUCAUUCUCUCAUGAUGUUCUUUAGUACAUACUUUUAAAUAAAGCUAUGUAUUGAAAUGCAA